UUACGGCCAUAUCACGUUGAAACACCGGUUCUCAUACGAUCAAAGAAGUUAAGCAACAUUGAACCGAAUAAGUAUCUAGAUGGGUGUCCGUUCAGGAAUACCAGGUACUGUAAG